UACGUAGGGUGCAAGCGUUGUCCGGAAUUAUUGGGCGUAAAGAGCUCGUAGGCGGCUUGUCGCGUCGUCCGUGAAAACCCGGGGCUCAACCCCGGGCUUGCGGUCGAUACGGGCAGGCUCGAGUUCGGUAGGGGAGACUGGAAUUCCUGGUGUAGCGGUGAAAUGCGCAGAUAUCAGGAAGAACACCAAUGGCGAAAGCAGCUCUCUGGGACGGUACUGACGCUGAGACGCGAAAGCGUGGGGAGCGAACAGG
rnacentral:rRNA from 1 species